ensembl:lncRNA
UUUGUGUGUGCCGUGUGUGUGUGUACAUGUGGACACAUUCAGACACUGAAGCCACACAGGAAUCCCAUAAUAUCAUUCCCGAGUCCCUGAGUGGAUCAUUUGUGCACUGUGGAACAUUGUGAAAUACCAGGCAUAAUUUAUGAUCCAACCUUCAGCCGGCUGCCACGCUUUCUCACAGCGUCUGGUUUAUUUGCAAUACUAAGCUGGUUUGGCUGUCCCCACCCCCACCCCACCUCACAGUCUCCAUCACUCUGGAGCAGAAUAUUUAGCAUUUUAAGCUAAGGAGUCAAACAUGCAAAUUUGAGGCAAUGAAAUGCGAUUUGGUCUCUCAUCCUGGGAGAUGUUUAGUUCUGUGUGGGUAGGCAUCCAUGUAUAUAUGUGCGUGUUUACCCACUGUGGUGACGUGUUUUGACUGCCCAGUCAAAUAAGGGCACAGCAAAGCUUGAUGCCCCUGUCAAAGUGCUCACCCACUUGGCCAAACCUGUAGUCUUCACCUUGUUUUCAUUCUUUAACCAUAACUAUACUUUUUUUUUUCUUCUUUUCUCUUUCCAAACCAGCUCAAAUCUUUCAUAUCCCUACUUCUUUUAAAUACUCUCUCUGUCUCUGCCUCCCCCUUUCUCCCUAGGUGUGGACUGCGCAGAAGAAUGUAGUAAAAUUAGUGUUUUAUCUCUCCUGCCAGCCAGCUGUACUCUCAGACAUGCCAAGCAUUUGAGACACAAUUGACCUUAAAAGGAAACAAUAGCAGCCUAUCAAUUCUGCUCUGCCAGUCAAGCAGUGGCUCAUUCGUGCAAAGGCAGAGUCCACCUCGUGUGCGCAACACAAGGAAGUGUUUGGAAACUGAACUUUGGAACUGGGAAGUAGGAGAGUCACAGUGCACUCAGCAAAGAGUUUUCCUUUUAGUUUAUGAAGAUGGAGAGUUUGUGGAGCUUGAUUUGCUUUAGAGGAAAGGAUGCAUCUUAAAUUAAGUAAGUUGUGGGAAGUUCUUUGUGAUUUUUAGGAUUUCUGCCAGUGUGUAAAAGCCCUGCAGCCCAGCAGGCCUGCACUUACACUCCUGCCAAUCUAAGCCGAUUUUUUUUUUUUUUUUUUUUUAAAGACAUAAUCUGUAAUCAGGAAGUUGUCUAAUAUAGCCUCUCAACCCACUGUUCUUGUUAACUAUUUUACACAAAUAAGCAUUGAGUGACCAGGCAGAUGUUAUGAC